UACGAAGGGGGCUAGCGUUGUUCGGAAUUACUGGGCGUAAAGCGCGCGCAGGCGGUCUUCCAAGUCAGUGGUGAAAGCCUGGAGCUCAACUCCAGAACUGCCAUUGAAACUGUUAGACUUGAGUACGAGAGAGGUGAGUGGAAUUCCCAGUGUAGAGGUGAAGUUCGUAGAUAUUGGGAAGAACACCAGUGGCGAAGGCGGCUCACUGGCUCGUAACUGACGCUCAGGCGCGACAGUGUGGGGAGCAAACAGG
rnacentral:rRNA from 1 species